UCCGUAGGACCCGAUCGUUGUCCGGAUUUACUGGGUGUAAAGGGCGUGUAGGUGGGCGCUUAAGUCGAUGGUGAAAUCCUGCGGCUCAACCGUAGAAUUGCCGUCGAUACUGGGCGUCUUGAGUGCGGCAGAGGGAGAUGGAAUUCAUGGUGUAGCGGUGAAAUGUGUAGAUAUCAUGAAGAACACCGGUAGCGAAGGCGGUCUCCUGGUCCGUGACUGACACUGAGGCGCGAAAGCGUGGGGAGAAAACAG
rnacentral:rRNA from 1 species